rnacentral:rRNA from 1 species
AUGGCUAAUUACAAGCAUGCGAGCAAUCAUAAGGGUGGGGUGUUAAGAGAAGGAUGGAAGAAGACAAUGGAAGGAAAGCUAAUAAUUAAUGUGGAUGCUGCAUUUGGAGAGGAUUCGGAUGAUGGUGGAAUAGGUGUGGUUAUCAGAGACCAUAGAGGUGAGUGCAUUAGCUGUGCCCAGCGUCAUCUUCCCCAUGUUGCCGAUGCAGCGGUGGUUGAAGCUUUUGCUUUCAGAGAGGGCUUGCAAAUUGCACAACAAGUAGGUAUGAACUCUUUCGCAAUUCACACUGAUUGUCUUCAAGUUGUUCAAACCAUCAAUGAUGGAGGUUUCUCGGCUACAUCAGCAAGUGCAGUUUACACGGAUUGUAAUAUUCUUCUUGCUGGUUUUGAUAAUGUUCUUGUGAAACAUUGUAAUAGGAAGGCCAAUGUAGUGGCGCAUGAGCUAGCUAGAAAUUCUGUGGCUAUGUCUAGAACUUGUGUUUGGGACUAUGAUCCCCGUAGCUUUAUUUUUGCGAGUUUGGUGAACGAUGUAACUCUUUUAUCUAAUCAAGAAAGCUCGCCAUGA